UAGGGAAUCUUCCGCAAUGGACGCAAGUCUGACGGAGCAACGCCGCGUGAGUGAAGAAGGAUUUCGGUUCGUAAAACUCUGUUGUUAGAGAAGAACAGCGCAUAGAGUAACUGUUAUGCGUGUGACGGUAUCUAACCAGAAAGCCACGGCUAACUACGUGCCAGCAGCCGCGGUAAUACGUAGGUGGCAAGCGUUGUCCGGAUUUAUUGGGCGUAAAGCGAGCGCAGGCGGUCAAUUAAGUCUGAUGUGAAAGCCCCCGGCUCAACCGGGGAGGGUCAUUGGAAACUGGUUGACUUGAGUGCAGAAGAGGAGAGUGGAAGUCCAUGUGUAGCGGUGAAAUGCGUAGAUAUAUGGAGGAACACCGGUGGCGAAAGCGGCUCUCUGGUCUGUAACUGACGCUGAGGCUCGAAAGCGUGGGGAGCGAACAGG
rnacentral:rRNA from 1 species